rnacentral:rRNA from 1 species
GAUGAACGCUGGCGGCGUGCCUAAUACAUGCGAGUCGAGCGAACGGACGAGAAGCUUGCUUCUCUGAUGUUAGCGGCGGACGGGUGAGUAACACGUGGAUAACCUACCUAUAAGACUGGGAUAACUUCGGGAAACCGGAGCUAAUACCGGAUGAUAUUUUGAACCGCAUGGUUCAAAAGUGAAAGACGGUCUUGCUGUCACUUAUAGAUGGAUCCGCGCUGCAUUAGCUAGUUGGUAAGGUAACGGCUUACCAAGGCAACGAUGCAUAGCCGACCUGAGAGGGUGAUCGGCCACACUGGAACUGAGACACGGUCCAGACCCCUACGGGAGGCAGCAGUAGGGAAUCUUCCGCAAUGGGCGAAAGCCUGACGGAGCAACGCCGCGUGAGUGAUGAAGGUCUUCGGAUCGUAAAACUCUGUUAUUAGGGAAGAACAUAUGUGUAAGUAACUGUGCACAUCUUGACGGUACCUAAUCAGAAAGCCACGGCUAACUACGUGCCAGCAGCCGCGGUAAUACGUAGGUGGCAAGCGUUAUCCGGAAUUAUUGGGCGUAAAGCGCGCGUAGGCGGUUUUUUAGUCUGAUGUGAAAGCCCACGGCUCAACCGUGGAGGGUCAUUGGAAACUGGAAAACUUGAGUGCAGAAGAGGAAAGUGGAAUUCCAUGUGUAGCGGUGAAAUGCGCAGAGAUAUGGAGGAACACCAGUGGCGAAGGCGACUUUCUGGUCUGUAACUGACGCUGAUGUGCGAAAGCGUGGGGAUCAAACAGGAUUAGAUACCCUGGUAGUCCACGCCGUAAACGAUGAGUGCUAAGUGUUAGGGGGUUUCCGCCCCUUAGUGCUGCAGCUAACGCAUUAAGCACUCCGCCUGGGGAGUACGACCGCAAGGUUGAAACUCAAAGGAAUUGACGGGGACCCGCACAAGCGGUGGAGCAUGUGGUUUAAUUCGAAGCAACGCGAAGAACCUUACCAAAUCUUGACAUCCUUUGACAACUCUAGAGAUAGAGCCUUCCCCUUCGGGGGACAAAGUGACAGGUGGUGCAUGGUUGUCGUCAGCUCGUGUCGUGAGAUGUUGGGUUAAGUCCCGCAACGAGCGCAACCCUUAAGCUUAGUUGCCAUCAUUAAGUUGGGCACUCUAAGUUGACUGCCGGUGACAAACCGGAGGAAGGUGGGGAUGACGUCAAAUCAUCAUGCCCCUUAUGAUUUGGGCUACACACGUGCUACAAUGGACAAUACAAAGGGCAGCGAAACCGCGAGGUCAAGCAAAUCCCAUAAAGUUGUUCUCAGUUCGGAUUGUAGUCUGCAACUCGACUACAUGAAGCUGGAAUCGCUAGUAAUCGUAGAUCAGCAUGCUACGGUGAAUACGUUCCCGGGUCU